rnacentral:rRNA from 1 species
CGUACACUCCUACGGGAGGCAGCAGUGGGGAAUUUUACGCAAUGGGGGAAACCCUGACGUAGCGACACCGCGUGAGCGAAGAAGCCCUUUGGGGUGUAAAGCUCUGUCAGCUGGAACGAAAACAAUGACGGUACCAGCAGAGGAAGCAUCGGCUAACUACGUGCCAGCAGCCGCGGUAAGACGUAGGAUGCGAGCGUUGUCCGGAUUUAUUGGGCGUAAAGAGUUCGUAGGUGGUUUGUUAAGUUUGGUGUUAAAGAUCGGGGCUCAACCCUGGGACUGCACUGAAUACUGGCAGACUCGAGUGUGGUAGAGGCUAGUGGAAUUCCCAGUGUAGCGGUGAAAUGCGUAGAUAUUGGGAAGAACACCGGUGGCGUAGGCGACUAGCUGGGCCAUAACUGACGCUGAGGAACGAAAGCCAGGGGAGCGAAUGGGAUUAGAUACCCGGGUAGUCCCAUGAU